UACGGAGGGUGCAAGCGUUGUCCGGAAUCACUGGGCGUAAAGGGCGCGUAGGCGGCUCAUGAAGGCUGUGGUGAAAGUCCGGGGCUCAACCUCGGAUCGGCCGUGGCGACUCGUGGGCUGGAGCACUGUAGAGGCGGGUGGAAUUCCGGGUGUAGCGGUGGAAUGCGUAGAGAUCCGGAAGAACACCAGUGGCGAAGGCGCCCGCUGGGCAGUGGCUGACGCUGAGGCGCGACAGCG
rnacentral:rRNA from 1 species